UACAAUUUUUUUCUCUUAUUUUUCUUUAUAAACUCGGUAUCAGAACAAGGUUGUCCUGUCUCGUCCCUAAGCAGUUGUGCCCCCACGCAUGUCUUCGACAACUUCUUCUUGUGCCUUCUCUUCCUACGCGCGUCUUGUUCUUCCUAUGUGCGUCUUGUUGGGCCUCACGACCGGCUUCUCUGCUGCCAUGCAAUUGCUCCCUCCAAGCUUAAAGUGAGGUUCUUAAAUCCUUAACGGAAGCUCUGCGGUAGGUAUCUCUCCCUUCCGUCCCCUCAGCCCUUCCAUCCUCUCUCUUUCAAGCUGACCCAAGCCCGUGGGGCUUCUCACGUACCAAAGGUUCCGUAAGGCUUCAGAUGGAAGAGUCACUCCUCUCAGCCCUUCCGUCCUCUCUCUUUCAAGCUGACCGAAGCUUGUGAGGCUCCUCACGUACCAAAGAAUGAUGGCCCAAAAUCAUGGCUUACUUUUAUCUCUAUCAGCAGUCGCGCGCCAAACCAUGCCGUUAGAAUCUUGGCGGAUAAACUUGGCAGGCGCGGUCCUGCUCUAAACCUCAGCAGCAGCGCGCCAAACUGUACGGUCAGAAACUUGGCAAGUAAACUUGGCAGGCGCGGUCCUGCUCCAAAUCCCAGCAACAGCGCGCCAAACCAUAUCGUCAGAAGCUUAACGGGUAAACUUGGCAGGAGCGGUCCUGCUCCAAACCCCAGCAGCAGCGCGCUAAACCAUAUCGUCAGAAGCUUAGCGGGUAAACUUGGCAGGUGCAGUCUUGUUCCAAACUCCAGCAGCAACGCGUCAAACCGUACCGUCAGAAGCUUAGCAGGUAAACUUAGCAGGCACGGUCUCGCUUCAAACCUCAGCAGCAGCACGUCAAACCGUACCUUCAGAAGCUUGGCGAAUAAAUUUGGCAGGUGCGAUCUCGCUCCAAACCCCAGCAGCAGCGCGUCAAACUGUACCGUCAGAAGCUUGGUGGCUAAACUUGGCAGGCACGAUCUCGCUCCAUACCCCAACAGCAGCGUGUCAAAUAGUACCGUCAGAAGCUUGCGCGAAGGCAAACUUGGCAGACGCGAUCUCGCUCCAAACCCGGACAGCUCCUACUCCUACUCUUGAUCUGAAGGUGGCUUCUUCGCAGUCGAUCUCCUUCGCGAAGUGCUGGUUUUUGUUGCGUAACUCCAAUUCCAAGGUGGGGCACGUCCGCACGUGCCAUGCAUGUCCUAGUCGUGUCUUUCUUAAUGUUUAUUUUUCGAAAAAACUUUCUUUAUUUUAUUAUUGUUGUGUCAAUGGAGUAUCAAUGGUAAAUAGUACACCUAUUUCUUAAAAAAUAAUAAAGUUAAGGUAUAUGGA